UGUAUUCACCUGCAAUUCCCACUAAGAGGGCACCCAGCAACACAGGCGGAAAUGAGAAAGACUAUAGCCCUAAUGAGAGUGCUCCAAAACCCCUUGCAAAAAAGGCCAAGAAAAACAUUCAGACAAGCAACAGGCAUUCAGCUCUGUCAUGGAAAACAGAUAAUGACACUGACAUGGUUCCACAGACUCUGAGAUUCCUACCUGCACGGGAACCUGGACCACAGCUGCGUCCUGCUGAUGAACACACUCCUAAGAGUCUCUUCAAAAUGUUCAAAAUGCAAGGAAUAAUGCCACCGCUGGUCGUCGGAACUGCAUGCUUUGCAAAGUACAGCUUGGUAAAAGGCAAGACACACCUUGGAAAUGCCAGGCAUGUGACAUUUACUUGUGUCUUCAGUUGAAAAGGAACUGUUUUCAAAAAUGGCACACAGAUGUGUGACUGUUCAGAUUCUCUGUUCACCACCUCUCACUGACCAUUGGGCUGCAAAGAUUAUCUAUAUGUGAUCAAGCAGGUUAUGUAUAGGGUGUAAAAGUGGGCUUUUUUUAUAAACCUUACCUUUAUUUGCCUGUAUACACAAAAUGUGCCUUUGACCCUAGUUUAUAUGUGGAUUAUAUUGUUAACUUUAUUUUAAAUAAAAAAGAAAAAAAACAA